rnacentral:rRNA from 1 species
GAUGAACGCUGGCGGCGUGCCUAAUACAUGCAAGUCGAGCGAACAGACGAGGAGCUUGCUCCUCUGACGUUAGCGGCGGACGGGUGAGUAACACGUGGAUAACCUACCUAUAAGACUGGGAUAACUUCGGGAAACCGGAGCUAAUACCGGAUAAUAUAUUGAACCGCAUGGUUCAAUAGUGAAAGACGGUUUUGCUGUCACUUAUAGAUGGAUCCGCGCCGCAUUAGCUAGUUGGUAAGGUAACGGCUUACCAAGGCGACGAUGCGUAGCCGACCUGAGAGGGUGAUCGGCCACACUGGAACUGAGACACGGUCCAGACUCCUACGGGAGGCAGCAGUAGGGAAUCUUCCGCAAUGGGCGAAAGCCUGACGGAGCAACGCCGCGUGAGUGAUGAAGGUCUUCGGAUCGUAAAACUCUGUUAUUAGGGAAGAACAAAUGUGUAAGUAACUAUGCACGUCUUGACGGUACCUAAUCAGAAAGCCACCGCUAACUACGUG